rnacentral:rRNA from 1 species
GAGUUUGAUCCUGGCUCAGGACGAACGCUGGCGGCGUGCCUAAUGCAUGCAAGUCGAACGCAGGGCGCUUGCGCCGCUGCGUGGCGCACGGCUGAGGAACACGUGGGUAUCUGCCCCGGAGUGGGGGAUAUCGCCGCGAAAGCGGUGGCAAUCCCGCAUACGCUCGGCAACGAGGAAAGGCGUCAGCCGCUCCGGGAUGAGCCUGCGGCCCAUCAGGUAGUUGGGGGGGUAAUGGCCUCCCAAGCCACUGACGGGUCCCUGGUCUGAGAGGACGACCAGGCAGACUGGGACUGAGAGACGGCCCAGACUCCUACGGGAGGCAGCAGCAAGGAAUUUUCCCCAAUGGGCGCAAGCCUGAGGGAGCAACGCCGCGUGGAGGAUGACGGCCUUCGGGUUGUAAACUCCUUUUGGGGGGGAAGAGCCUGACGGUACCCCCCGAAUCAGCCCCGGCUAACUCCGUGCCAGCAGCCGCGGUAAGACGGAGGGGGCAAGCGUUGUCCGGAAUCACUGGGCGUAAAGCGCGUGUAGGCGGUCGCGUGCGUCGGUGCUGAAAGCGCCCGGCUUAACCGGGCGAGGCGUGCCGAUACGAUGCGACUGGAGGCAGGCAGAGGGCGGCGGAAUUCCGGGUGUAGCGGUGAAAUGCGUAGAGCUCCGGAGGAACGCCGGUGGGGCAGCCGGCCGCCUGGGCCUGACCUGACGCUGAGACGCGACAGCGUGGGGAGCAAACCGGAUUAGAUACCCGGGUAGUCCACGCCGUAAACGCUGCCGGCUCGGUGACUGGGCGCCUGUGAAGGCGCCUGGGCGCCUUAGCUCACGCGGUAAGCCGGCCGCCUGGGGAGUACGAGCGCAAGCUUAAAACUCAAGGAAUUGANGGGGCCCGCACAAGCAGCGGAGCGUGUGGUUUAAUUCGACGCAACGCGAGCANCUUACNCAGGCUUGACAUGCCGCUGCAAGCGUCGGAAA